rnacentral:rRNA from 1 species
GAUGAACGCUGACAGCAUGCUUAACACAUGCAAGUCAACUUGAAUUUGGGUUUUUAACUUAGGUUUGGGUGGCGGACGGGUGAGUAACGCGUAAAGAACUUGCCUCACAGCUAGGGACAACAUUUGGAAACGAAUGCUAAUACCUAAUAUUAUGAUAAUAGGGCAUCCUAUAAUUAUGAAAGCUAUAAGCGCUGUGAGAGAGCUUUGCGUCCCAUUAGCUAGUUGGAGAGGUAACGGCUCACCAAGGCGAUGAUGGGUAGCCGGCCUGAGAGGGUGAUCGGCCACAAGGGGACUGAGACACGGCCCUUACUCCUACGGGAGGCAGCAGUGGGGAAUAUUGGACAAUGGACCAAGAGUCUGAUCCAGCAAUUCUGUGUGCACGAUGAAGUUUUUCGGAAUGUAAAGUGCUUUCAGUUGGGAAGAAAGAAAUGACGGUACCAACAGAAGAAGUGACGGCUAAAUACGUG